UUAAAUUGAAGAGUUUGAUCAUGGCUCAGAUUGAACGCUGGCGGCAGGCCUAACACAUGCAAGUCGAACGGUAACAGGAAGAAGCUUGCUUCUUUGCUGACGAGUGGCGGACGGGUGAGUAAUGUCUG
rnacentral:rRNA from 1 species